rnacentral:rRNA from 1 species
GAUGAACGCUGGCGGCGUGCCUAAUACAUGCAAGUCGAGCGAAGAUAUUCUGGUGUUUGCCCCGGAAAGACUUAGCGGCGCACGGGAGAGUAACACGUAAAGAACCUCUAUAAUAGUCUGGGACAACUAUUGGAAACGAUAGCUAAUACCGGAUAACAGCGUUAACUGCAUGGCUGUUGUUUAAAAGUUGGUUUUGCUCACACUAUGAGAUGGCUUUGCGGUGCAUUAGCUAGUUGGUGGGGUAAAGGCCUACCAAGGCGACGAUGCAUAGCCGACCUGAGAGGGUGAUCGGCCACACUGGAACUGAGACACGGCCCAGACUCCUACGGGAGGCAGCAGUAGGGAAUCUUCCGCAAUGGGCGAAAGCCUGACGGAGCAACGCCGCGUGAGUGAAGAAGGUUUUCGGUUCGUAAAGCUCUGUUGUUAGGGAAGAACGAUUGUGUAGGAACUUAUGACAGUAUUGACGGUACCUAACCAGAAAGCCACGGCUAACUACGUG